rnacentral:sRNA from 1 species
AACCUUACCUCUCGGUAAAAAAUAAAAAACUUUCCAAAGGGCGUUGGUAGGAUUUUCCGAAAACGACUUUUUUUAAAGCAAA